rnacentral:tRNA from 1 species
GCGGGGCCUCGGUAGGGAAGGGGCCGGCUCUCAUAAGGCUGGAGUGGCGGGUUCGACCCCCGCACCCGCG